UCAGAUUAUAGUUUAAUUAAAAUAUAAAGUUUGGGGCUUUAAGAUUGAAAUCUGA
rnacentral:tRNA from 1 species